GUUUGCACUCAUCGGGGAAGGGUGAGAACCUUCGACUAAGGUUCGAUUCGAGCGAAAGCGAGAGAACGUUGCCACAGGCAACGGCCCGAAGGGUGAGGAGCGAAGCGACGAAUAAUCCUUCCCCCACCACCC
rnacentral:sRNA from 2 species